GGGGGGCACCGGGAGCGGCCACGAGAGGUGGGCACGGGGGCACGGGAGGCACCGAGGGGCUACCCGGACACCGGAGGGCACCGGGAGCGGCCACGAGAGGCGGCGCAGCGCGCUGUUCCGGCACCUCGCCCGCCAGGCCUCGCUGCUGCACACGAGCCGCUCGCUGACGUCACUGAGCCGCUCGCUCUCCUCCUCCGACUCGCUGCCCGCCUCCCCCACGCAUGCGCGGGCGCGCGAGCCCGGGGCCUCCCCGCCCAGCAGCUCGCCCGGUUCCAGCGCUCCGCCGUCACCGGCGGGGCCGCACCUGCGGCCGAGCUCCCUGCAGGGCUGUCACCGAAGCUGCAGCGGCCAGUACCGGGCGGCGCGGUGCCGCUCCGCCGGCAGCAUCCCGCUCUCGCCGCUCGCCCACACGCCCUCGCCGCCCGCCGCCUCCCCGCCCGCCUUCCCCGCCAAGCUGCACCCCAAAGCCGCCGAGUCCCCGCGCCUCGCCCGCCGCGGGCUCCCGGAGAAGGCGGCGCCGGGGCCGCCCCGCAAGUUGGGGCUGGAGCCGCCCCGCAAGGACUUCCCGGCCGAGCCGCCGCUGCAGAGCUUGGCCGAGUGGGACGGCGAGGGCCCGGCCGAGCCGCCGCCCGCCGCGCCCCCCGCCCGCCGCCUGGGCCGCCAGGAGCUGCCGCUGCUGCUCGGGGGUCCCCCCGGGCGGAGCCGCCGCCGCCGGGCCCGGAGGAGCCCGAGCGGGGGGCGCGGGGUCCCCCCAAGGCGCUCAGCCCGGUGCAGGAGCACGAGCGCGGCGGGGCGGCCCCGGGGGCCCCCGGUGCCCCAUCGUGGUGGUGGGGCCCGGCGCGACCCCCGGGGACCCCCGGAGCGCCGCGGGCCCCCCCGGGCGCUGAGCUUUACCCGAGCCCCCCAAAUCCCGGCUGUAAAUAGGGGGGGCACCCCGGGACCCCCAGGCAUGCGGGGGUCGCGCCCCCCCCCGGUCCCUCCCCCCGCGUACGCGAAGGGUUAAUACUGUGACACACCUCCCCCCCGUGUGACGUCACCGAACCCGGCACCCCCCGGUGUGACGUCACCGACCCGGCACCCCCCCCGGUGUGAUGUCAUCGACCCGGACACCCCCCCCACGCCCACCCCCGGUCUCCCGUUUGCCCCCGGUUCUGGCUCCCGGUGUUUGACGUCAGAGCGGUGAUGACGUCACAGCACCGAUGGCACGGGCGGGGCACGGGCGCUGCUCUGAUGUCACUCGAGGUAGGGGUGGUGACGUCAUCCCCUCGAGCGUGACGUCACGGCUGCUGCAGCAUCGAUGAUGUCACGGCUGCGGCAUCACCGGCGGCGUUCGGGUGCUGACGUCACGGCUGUGACGUCACUGAAGGUGCGAGGGCGGUGACGUCAUAGUGACAGCCGGGAGGGGGGGUUAGGCCCGGUUUGCACUCCGUGGUGACGUCACACGAGAACCGGCCACGCCGGUGACGUCACCAACACCCCGUGACAUCAUCACAGUCCCCUCCCCCCCCCCCCCCCCUUCUCGCUAUGCAAACGCCCCCCGGGCAGGGGGGGCCGGGGGUCCCGG
ensembl:lncRNA